rnacentral:rRNA from 1 species
UACGGAGGGGGCAAGCGUUGUUCGGAAUUACUGGGCGUAAAGGGCGCGCAGGCGGCUGCUCAAGUCAGGCGUGAAAGGCCUGGGCUCAACCCGGGAAUUGCGCUUGAGACUGGGCUGGCUUGAGUGCGGGAGAGGAUGGUGGAAUUCCCAGUGUAGAGGUGAAAUUCGUAGAGAUUGGGAAGAACAUCGGUGGCGAAGGCGCUCUGCUGGACCAUAACUGACACUCACAGGACGAAAGCUAGGGGAGCGAAUGGG